rnacentral:rRNA from 1 species
CUUAGGACCGUUAUAGUUACGGCCGCCGUUUACUGGGGCUUCGGUUCACAGCUUCGGAUUGCUCCUAACCGCUCCCCUUAACCUUCCAGCACCGGGCAGGCGUCAGCCCGUAUACUUCGCCUUACGGCUUCGCACAGACCUGUGUUUUUGCUAAACAGUCGCUUGGGCCUUUUCACUGCGGCCCCCUCGGGCUAUUCACCCUACCGAGGCACCCCUUCUCCCGAAGUUACGGGGUCAUUUUGCCGAGUUCCUUAACGAGAGUUCUUCCGCGCGCCUUAGCAUGCUCUGCUCGCCUACCUGUGUCGGUU